GACGAACGCUGGCGGCGUGCUUAACACAUGCAAGUCGAACGGAAAGGCCCUGCUGCUGUGGGGUGCUCGAGUGGCGAACGGGUGAGUAACAAGUGAGUUACCUGCCCUUGCCUUUGGGAUAACCUCAGGAAACUGGGGAUACUUCCGGAUAGGAGCCCCUGCCGCAUGGUGGGGGUUGAAAAGUUUCGGUGGUUGGGGAUGGAGUCGCGGCUUAUCAGCUUGUUGGUGGGGCAGCGGCCUACCAAGGCUUUGACGGGGCGCCGGCCUGGGAGGGUGAGCAGCGACAUAAGGACAGAGAGACGGCCCAGACUCCUACGGGGGGGGGAGGUGGGGAAAAUUGCAGAAUGGGGGGGAGCCUGAUGUAGCAACACCGUGUGCGGGAUAUGGGGCUUCGGGGUGUAGACCGUGUUCGCCGGAGACGAAACGUAAGUGACGGUAAUGGGUAAAGAAGCACCGGCUAACUACGUG
rnacentral:rRNA from 1 species